rnacentral:rRNA from 1 species
UACGUAGGGUGCAAGCGUUAAUCGGAAUUACUGGGCGUAAAGCAUGCGCAGGCGGUUGUGCAAGACAGAUGUGAAAUCCCCGGGCUUAACCUGGGAAUUGCAUUUGUGACUGCACGGCUAGAGUGUGUCAGAGGGGGGUAGAAUUCCACGUGUAGCAGUGAAAUGCGUAGAUAUGUGGAGGAAUACCGAUGGCGAAGGCAGCCCCCUGGGAUAACACUGACGCUCAUGCACGAAAGCGUGGGGAGCAAACAGG